rnacentral:rRNA from 1 species
AUACGUAUGGAGCAAGCGUUAUCCGGAUUUACUGGGUGUAAAGGGAGCGUAGACGGCAUAGCAAGUCUGAAGUGAAAUCCCAUGGCUUAACCAUGGAACUGCUUUGGAAACUGCCAGGCUAGAGUGCAGGAGAGGUAAGCGGAAUUCCUAGUGUAGCGGUGAAAUGCGUAGAUAUUAGGAGGAACACCAGUGGCGAAGGCGGCUUACUGGACUGUAACUGACGUUGAGGCUCGAAAGCGGGGGGAGCAAACAGGAUUAGAUACCCUGGUAGUCCACGCUGUAAACGAUGAUUACUAGGUGUUGGGGACCAAAGGUCCUCGGUGCCGCCGCAAACGCAUUAAGUAAUCCACCUGGGGAGUACGUUCGCAAGAAUGAAACUCAAAGGAAUUGACGGGG